rnacentral:snRNA from 1 species
AGCUUUGUGCAGUGGCAGGAUCAUAGCCAAUGAGGUUUAUGCGAGGCACAAUUACUGCUAACUGAAACUACGAAUGGAGUAUUAAAAUUCAGAAUUCUGGGGUCAAGGGAGGCCUU